GUGCUCGCUUUGGCAGCACAUAUACUAAAAUUGGAACAUUAUAGAGAAGACUAGCA
rnacentral:snRNA from 1 species